rnacentral:rRNA from 1 species
AUGCAAGUCGAACGGUAGAGGGGGCAACCCUUGAGAGUGGCGAACGGGUGAGUAAUAUAGUCGGAACGUGCCCAGUCGUAGGGGGAUAACGUAGCGAAAGUUACGCUAAUACCGCAUACGAUCUACGGAUGAAAGCGGGGGACUCGCAAGAGCCUCGCGCGAUUGGAGCGGCCGAUAUCAGAUUAGGUAGUUGGUGGGGUAAAGGCUCACCAAGCCAACGAUCUGUAGCUGGUCUGAGAGGACGACCAGCCACACUGGAACUGAGACACGGUCCAGACUCCUACGGGAGGCAGCAGUGGGGAAUUUUGGACAAUGGACGCAAGUCUGAUCCAGCCAUUCCGCGUGCAGGAUGAAGGCCCUCGGGUUGUAAACUGCUUUUGUACGGAACGAAAAGGUCUCUAUUAAUACUAGGGGCUCAUGACGGUACCGUAAGAAUAAGCACCGGCUAACUACGUG